UACGAAGGGGGCGAGCGUUGUUCGGAAUUACUGGGCGUAAAGGGCGCGUAGGCGGCUCUGAAAGUCAGAUGUGAAAGCCCCGGGCUUAACCUGGGAACUGCAUUCGAUACUCUGGAGCUUGAGUACGGGAGAGGAUAGUGGAAUUCCCAGUGUAGAGGUGAAGUUCGUAGAUAUUGGGAAGAACACCGGUGGCGAAGGCGGCUAUCUGGACCGUAACUGACGCUGAGGCGCGAAAGCGUGGGGAGCAAACAGG
rnacentral:rRNA from 1 species